GUACUCGCUUCGGCAGUAUAUCUACUAAAAUCGGAACGAUACAGAUCGAAAAGAUUUGCAUGGCCCCUACACAAGGAUGACGCACAUUCGUGAACCGGUCCAUACGCCA